rnacentral:piRNA from 1 species
UCUGAGUGGUGUACUGAUGUGGUGAC